rnacentral:rRNA from 1 species
UACAGAGGUCCCGAGCGUUGUUCGGAUUCAUUGGGCGUAAAGGGUGCGUAGGUGGAUUGGUAAGUCCGUGGUGAAAUCCCUGAGCUUAACUCAGGAACUGCCGUGGAUACUAUCAAUCUUGAAUACUGUGGAGGUAAGCGGAAUAUGUCAUGUAGCGGUGAAAUGCUUAGAUAUGACAUAGAACACCAAUUGCGAAGGCAGCUUGCUACACGGUUAUUGACACUGAGGCACGAAAGCGUGGGGAUCAAACAGG